AGUGAACGCUGGCGGUAGGCCUAACACAUGCAAGUCGAACGGCAGCACAGGAGAGCUUGCUCUCUGGGUGGCGAGUGGCGGACGGGUGAGGAAUACAUCGGAAUCUACCUUUUCGUGGGGGAUAACGUAGGGAAACUUACGCUAAUACCGCAUACGACCUACGGGUGAAAGUGGGGGACCGCAAGGCCUCACGCGAUUAGAUGAGCCGAUGUCCGAUUAGCUAGUUGGCGGGGUAAUGGCCCACCAAGGCGACGAUCGGUAGCUGGUCUGAGGGGAUGAUCAGCCACACUGGAACUGAGACACGGUCCAGACUCCUACGGGAGGCAGCAGUGGGGAAUAUUGGACAAUGGGCGCAAGCCUGAUCCAGCCAUACCGCGUGGGUGAAGAAGGCCUUCGGGUUGUAAAGCCCUUUUGUUGGGAAAGAAACCCUGUCGAUUAAUACUCGGUGGGGAUGACGGUACCCAAAGAAUAAGCACCGGCUAACUUCGUGCCAGCAGCCGCCGUAAUAC
rnacentral:rRNA from 1 species